rnacentral:piRNA from 1 species
UGAAGUGAUCCUGUUGGACUUUGAUGG